rnacentral:rRNA from 1 species
CCUACGGUGUGCAGCAGUGAGGAAUAUUGGUCAAUGGACGGAAGUCUGAACCAGCCAUGCCGCGUGCAGGAAGACGGCUCUAUGAGUUGUAAACUUCUUUUAUAUGGGAAUAAAGUGCAGUAUGUAUACUUCUUUGCAUGUACCUUAUGAAUAAGGAUCGGCUAACUCCGUGCCAGCAGCCGCGGUAAUACGGAGGAUCCGAGCGUUAUCCGGAUUUAUUGGGUUUAAAGGGAGCGUAGGCGGGUUGUUAAGUCAGUUGUGAAAGUUUGCGGCUCAACCGUAAAAUUGCAGUUGAUACUGGCAUCCUUGAGUACAGUAGAGGUAGGCGGAAUUCGUGGUGUAGCGGUGAAAUGCUUAGAUAUCACGAAGAACUCCGAUUGCGAAGGCAGCCUGCUGGACUGUAACUGACGCUGAUGCUCGAAAGUGUGGGUAUCAAACAGGAUUAGAUACCCCAGUAGUC